rnacentral:misc_RNA from 1 species
AACGCACAUUGCGCCCGCCAGUAUUCUGGCGGGCAUGCCUGUUCGAGCGUCAUUUCAACCCUCAAGCCCCAGUGGUUUGGUGUUGGGGACCGGCGAUCCUCGCUGCCUUGGCAGUGUUCCGCCGCCCCCGAAAUGAAUUGGCGGUCUCGUCGCGGCCUCCUCUGCGUAGUAGCACAACUUUCGCAACAGGAGCGCGGCGCGGCCACUGCCGUAAAACGCCCAAACUUUUUUUUUAGAGUUGACCUCGAAUCAGGUAGGAAUACCCGCUGAACUUAA